GACGAACGCUGGCGGCGUGCUUAACACAUGCAAGUCGAACGGUAAGGCCCUUCGGGGUACACGAGUGGCGAACGGGUGAGUAACACGUGGGUGAUCUGCCCUGCACUUCGGGAUAAGCCUGGGAAACUGGGUCUAACACCGGAUAGGACCACUGCCUGCAUGGGUGGUGGUGGAAAGCUUUUGCGGUGUGGGAUGGGCCCGCGGCCUAUCAGCUUGUUGGGGGGGUGAUGGCCUACCAAGGCGACGACGGGUAGCCGGCCUGAGAGGGUGACCGGCCACACUGGGACUGAGAUACGGCCCAGACUCCUACGGGAGGCAGCAGUGGGGAAUAUUGCACAAUGGGCGCAAGCCUGAUGCAGCGACGCCGCGUGAGGGAUGACGGCCUUCGGGUUGUAAACCUCUUUCAGCACCGACGAAGCGCAAGUGACGGUAGGUGCAGAAGAAGGACCGGUCAACUACGUGCCAGCCGCCGCGGUAA
rnacentral:rRNA from 1 species